rfam:Gossypium hirsutum cultivar TM-1 unplaced genomic scaffold scaffold2908.1, whole genome shotgun sequence
UUUUAAAAAUUCAUCCCUUUGUACUGUUAAAAAGGCGUGGCUAAUAGAAUAAUCAGACUGUGACAGGUGGCAUAUCGCAUGCUCCUCAUGUUGGCGUACAAGGACAAGUCUUUAACAGUAAAAAUGGAUGGAGUUUUUAAUA